rnacentral:lncRNA from 1 species
AAAUAUAAAUUAAAAUAAAAAAACCAAGAUCUAUAGAUUUACACAUGUAUGAAAUCAAGUCAUAAUGUUAUUUUUCUUCUCAAAUAUUUAAUGUGUUGCAAUAUAGAAUUUAAAUUAUUCAAUUUAUUGAAUAUGAAGAAAAAGUCCGUUCACAUAGAGUUUUAACACUCGCAUUAUAACCUGCAUAACAAAAAAUCAAGAGAUAAAAAUUUUAAAAAGAAAAGAAAAGAGAAAGUAAUGUUCUAAUCAUAAAAUUUUAACAAAUAAUUAAAAAAGAAAUAGAAAGUAUCUCCACAUAUAUAAAAGAGUAAUAAUUUCAGCUAAAAUAUUUUAGUCUAUUGGUAAUUGUGUAUUUGUAAAUCUUUUGUGGUGUUUAAAUCUGCUUCUCAAAAGAUUAUUUGAACUUUUAUCCUACUAUGAUUUUAAAUCAAGUUCUCAAAUUCCUUUAAAAUGAUUUCCAAAAUUAGAUGGCGAUUCGAUUUUAAAAAACGAAGAAGAUAAAAAUAGGCCAAAGUUAUAAAAUUAUUUUUACUUAGUUUGAAACUUAUCGUAAUAAGUAACAAUGUGUUCUUUGAUAAAACUACUUAAUGAGAAUUUGAGAAGGACAUAAAUCGAUAAUCAAGAAUUAGUCACACUAGUUUAUAUUUUUCAACUACUUUCAACAACAUUAUUGUCGUUAAUGCUAAUUGCAACCUUCUUUACUAAUGACAUGUUUGUUAAUUAUUAAUUUUCAAGAACAUACCUAGUUUGAAGUGAAGAAAUAAUAUUAUUAAUUGUAAGAAUGAUACGAGAACUUAUUAUUUCCUCCAGUGUACAUAAGUCUAUAUUGUUGACGUCGUCUUUUUAUUAAUUAUUAAAACUAUGUCAUAUAUUAUAAUCCACGGGAAUAUUAACUUGUUGCCUUCAAAGUUUAAUUUUGAUAUAUUUCAUUUGUUCUCCUUAUUUUAAAAUAUUACGUUGAGUUGUCUUCUGUAACUUCUUUACCUAGUUUGAGAUGUAUCUAUAAAAUUUGCUAGAUUUAGUAUUUGAAGUAUAAUUCUCUUAUUGGACUUAUUUUUUAUAUAUUUAUUUGUGAGUUUUCUAAAAUUAUUUAAGAAGUUGACAAAAUUUAAUAAGUUAUAAAGAUGUUAUAGUGGAUUACUUGUCAUAUUUGUAGCUCCUCAUCUUUUGAUCAUAUCUCAAGACUAAAUGUGUUUAGAUGAGAAUUUCGGUAGUGCGAUUAGCUUUAGAAUGUUGAGUUUUGUCUAGAUUGACCUUUCAUGGGAAUCCUGAAGCUUCUUGGCUCAUUUUGAGCCCUCGUAUAGGAUUUGGCUUAACAUGGAACUUGGGUGUGGGACCCAGUUUUAAUCAAGAUGACCUCAUAUGGAAAUUAUAAUGAUUCUGUUGAGUCUAGAAUGCCAAAUUUAGUGGGGUAGCAUAUCUAGUAUAUUUUUAUCGGGUCCCGAAUAAACCACGAGGGUCCGUAAGGAGACUUUGAAAAAUAGCAAAAUUUGAUGUUGCUUGUGCAGAUAUUUAGUGUGACACCUCAGAUUCAAGAAGAACUAGGAAGGGUCAAGUGGGCAACUCACAAGCCCAAAGGUGGACCAUGAAACUCCUCAUGGAGCCCCAGACGGGUCGUGAAGAGGACCACGGUCCGAUGGAGGGCUCGUGAAGGUGCCCAGGACCUGCUUCGCUGGUCUCCCUCCUACGAAGGGAGUUGACGGCCCGUGGUGAGCUUCACGCCCCUUAGUGGUGUCUGUGAAAAAAAUCCAGAAGAUGUCCAGGAAGGAUGCACUCCCACGACCCCUUUGACUGCCCGUGGUGAGCCUCACGAGGCGUGAAGGUGAUCGUGGAGGAUGGCCAGCCUUCAGGGGCCAUUGCCCAAGGACCACGGUGGCCACAACGGGUCGUGGUCCCUUACACGAUCCGUGUAAGCUGUCGUAGGGUGGUCGUGUCAGCUAUAAGUCAGGGUCUUUUCCUAAUUAUUCUAUCUUGAUACUAUGUCAUUUUGCCCUCUUUUAGAACCCCUGUAUAAGUGUUUUUAACCCCGAAAUUCCCCAAUUGAAAUCAUUUUCUCAAAUUUACAAAGAAGAAUAAGUCUUCCUCUCCAAAAUAUUUUUAUCUCUAGAAAGCUUGAAGAAGAAGGGAUCAACCUAGGGUUUCAAGUCAAGACUCCAAUUCCCCCAUUGAAGGCAAGCUUUUGGCAUUGAGGUAUUAUAGUUUUCAUCCAUGGAGUUCCCAACUUCUCCAAUUUUCAAAGUUAGAAAUUCCCAAUUGAGUUAUGGGUUUUCUCCUAUGUUAUGAGUUCUCUUAAUUAUUGAUUUAAUUGAUUGAUCUAUGAUCUUUUAUGCAUGAAUUGAGUUAAUAUCAUGUUUUUAUGAUGAACAUGAUGAUACCUCAUGAACCCAUGUAAUUCCCAUGUUUUCCAAGUUAUGAUCAUAUGAUGUGGGUUUUGAAUUAUGAAAGAAGAGUUUAUGAAAUUAAGCAUGUUUUCAUGAAAUUUAUGUAAUUGUUUUAAGGAUUCUUUGAGAGUGAAGUAUCAAUGUUGUCAUUUGUUUUAUUGUGAAAGGAUUUUUCAUAUACACAUGAAAGCAUGACUUUUGAAAGGACAUUCUCACAUAAAGGAUUCUUAGGGUUGAAAGGUUUUCUCAACUACACUUGGAAUCAAAGAUUUAAGGAGCUAUUCUAAUGAAAACUAGCUUGGAUUGGUUAUUGAAUGAUACAUUUCCAUGGAUACUACAUGACUUAGCUUGGAUUGGCAAUAUGACGUGCCCUUCCAUGGAUAAUAAAGACAAGUAUGCAUAAUUGACUAUUCCGUGGAAAUUACUCUUAGCAGCAAGCGGAUAUUGAUAUGGAAGCUCUCCCAUUAGUAGAGGUCGAGUUUCUAGAAGCAAUCUAUUUGUCCCUUAACUAUGUUCAACCAUGGGAUGUUGUCUUAUCUAGACAUUAGCUAGUGGAUCCACAUAAGCUAGAAGUUCAUGGCCUUACCUUAGAAAAGUAGGAAACCUUUUUUGGUGUAGGAGACACCAGAUUCCAUGUUAUAGCAUACACGGUCUCUAUAUCGGUUAAAAGGUAAUUCCCCACGAUAAUGAACUAAGGUUACUUUUAUAAUUAUCUCAUGAACGUUUUGAACUCCCCGAUACCCAACCUAUCUCUAUUCCUCCUUAUAUAAUGGCUUCGGCGGAACUCAAGGAGUUGAAGGAGAAGUUAAAGGACUUAUUGGAUAAGGAUUUCAUUCGACCGAGUAUGAUGCUCCGGUGUUGUUUGUUAAGAAGAAAGAUGGUUCACUCCGUAUGUGUAUUGAUUAUCGGCAGUUGAAUAAAGUGACCAUCAAGAACAAGCAUCCUCUUCCGAGAAUAGAUGAUUUAUUUGAUCAACUUCAAGGGGCAAAUUAUUUCUCUAAAAUUGACCUCCAAUCGGGUUAUCACCAAUUGAGGGUGAAAGAGGAAGAUAUACCAAAAAUGACUUUUAGAACUCGAUAUGGUCAUUAUGAGUUCUUGGUUAUGUCUUUUGGUUUAACUAAUGCCCCGGCAAAGUUUAUGGAUUUGAUGAAUAGGGUGUUUAGACAAUACCUUGAUAUGUUCGUAAUUGUGUUCAUAGAUGAUAUUUUGAUCUAUUCAAGAAGUGAGAAUGAGCAUAUUGAUCAUUUGAGGAUUGUAUUGCAAAUUCUCUAGGACCAACAACUCUAUGAGAAGUUUAGUAAAUAUGAGUUUUGGUUAAGGUCCGUAGCUUUCCUUGCCCAUAUAGUUUCAAGCAAGGGUAUUGACGUAGAUCCAAAGGAGACUGAUGCGGUCAAGAGUUGGCCUAGACCUCUAUCACCAACAGAUAUUAGAAGUUUCUUGGGUUUGGCCGGUUAUUAUAAAAGGUUUGUUGAGGGGUUCUCCUCUAUUGCUUCUCCUUUGAUGACUUUGACGACUUUGACUCAAAAGAAGGCCAAGUUUAUAUGGUCCGAAGCUUGUGUGAAAAGUUUCCAAGAGUUGAAAGAUAGACUUACUUCCGCUCCGGUGUUGACCUUACCGGAAGGUACAGAUGACUUUGUGGUAUAUUGUGAUGCCUCUAGAGUUGGAUUGGGAUGUGUGCUCAUGCAAAAUGGUAAGGUAAUUGCCUAUGCUUCAAGGCAACUAAAUGUUCAUGAGAAGAACUAUCCUACCCACGAUCUUGAAUUAACGGCGGUGGUAUUUGCCUUAAAGAUUUGGAGGCAUUAUUUGUAUGGGGUCCACGUUGAUGUGUUUACCGAUCACAAAAGUUUGCAAUAUGUGUUUACCCAAAAAGAUCUGAAUCUUUGCCAAAGAAGGUGGCUUGAGUUAUUAAAAGAUUAUGAUAUGAGUGUUCUCUAUCACCCCGGUAAAACAAAUGUGGUGGCGGAUGCCCUUAGUCGGUUAUCCAUGGGUAGUGUUACACAUGUUGAUGAUGAGAGAAAAGAGUUGGUUCGAGAUGUUCAUAGGUUAGCCCGAUUGGGAGUUUAACUAGUGGAUUCCACCAAGGGUAGUAUUAUGGUCCAUAAUGGUUUUGAAUCAUCUUUCGUGGCCGAUGUUAAAGCAAAGCAAUGUCUUGAUCCGACCUUAGUAUAAUUGAAAGAAGUGGUACUAAAGAAGUCUGUAGAGGCUUUCUCCCGGGGGGAUGGUGUCCUAAGGUACCAAGGUUGAUUGUGUGUUCUGAAUGUCAAUGACUUGAGGCAACAGAUCUUGUCAGAAGCCCAUAGUUCUCGGUAUUCUAUUCACCUGGGAGCCACCAAGAUGUACCGUGAUUUGCGGGAGAUCUAUUGGUGGAAUGGGAUGAAGAAGGAUAUUGCAGGAUUUGUGGCUAAGUGUUCUAAUUGCCAACAAGUGAAGGUUGAGCAUCAGAGACCGGGAUUUUAUCCUAAGAUAUUAGCAUUCCUACUUGGAAGUGGGAAGAUAUGAAUAUGGACUUCAUUGUAGGGUUGCCCUGAACUCGGCUUCAAUAUGAUUCAAUUUGGGUUAUAAAAGACCGAAUGAUGAAGUCAGCCCAUUUAAUUCCCGUCAAGGUUUCCUAUAUGGCGGAAGAUUAUGAUAAGUUGUAUUUGAGAGAGAUGGUAAGGUUGUAUGAAGUGCCCUUGUCCAUUAUCUCCGAUAGAGGUACUCAGUUUACUUCACAAUUUUGGAAAUCUUUCCAAAACGAUCUUGGCACGAAAGUUAAGCUUAGUACAGUUUUUCACCCCUAAACUGAUGGGCAAGCGAAAAGAACAAUCCAAACAUUGGAAGAUAUGUUGAGGGCGUGCGUGAUAGAUUUCAAGGGAAAUUGGGAUGACCAUUUGCCUUUGAUAGAAUUUGCCUAUAAUAAUAGCUACCAUUCCAGUAUUGGUAUGGCUCCGUUUGAGGUUCCUUAUAGUAUGAGGUGUAGAUCCCCUAUCGGAUGGUUUGAGGUGGGUGAGGUUACUUUGAUAGGAUGGUUUGAUAUGGGUGAGGUUACUUUGAUAGGACCCGUGUUAGUUCAUGAAGCUAUUGAGAAAGUUCGACUCAUUAGAGAGAGGUUGAGAACCGCCCAAAGUCGACAAAAGUCUUAUGUAGAUGUUAGAAGGAGAGACCUUGAAUUUGAUGUGCUUGAUUGGGUUUACUUGAAAAUCUCACCCAUAAAGGGUGUAAUGAGGUUUUGUAAGAAAGGGAAACUUAGUCCCCGUUUUGUAGGCCCAUAUCAAAUUUUGAGACGUGUUGGUAAGGCUGCAUAUGAGCUUGAUUUUCCAAAUGAGUUGGCAUCAGUGCAUCUGGUUUUCCAUGUCUCUAUGUUGAAAAAGUGUGAUAGAGGUCCGACAUCCAUAAUUCCCCUAGAAGGGUUAGAAGUGAAAGAGAACCUUUCUUAUGAAGAAGUUCCGGUAGACAUCUUAGAUCGUCAAGUUAAGAGGUUGAGGAAUAAAGAGGUUGCUUCCGUUUAAGUGUUAUGGAUAAACCAUCUAGUUGAGGGUGCUACUUGGGAGGCCGAGGCCAAUAUGAUAUCCUGAUAUCCUCAUCUCUUUCCUCCUAUUCUAUCUUGAGGUAAUGAUUUCCUCUUGUUUUGCUUAUGUUUGAAGUCAUAAGUGUUUUAUGUGUUUCCAUGAUUUCCUUAAAUUUGCAUGUUCAUGAAACAGCUUAAGUUUUUUAAAGAAUUUGCUUUUAUUAUGUAUUUUCCUCAUGUUGUUGAGUAUUGAAUAUAAGUUGCUUAUAGACUUCAUGAGAUGAGUUGUAGAACAUGCCUUGACUUGGAGUGGAGAUCCCCUCCUUGAAUCAGUGCUUUUUGAGAUUUAAUUGCAUUUAGACUCCAUGAGAUUGUGUUGAGCAUUGCUUUUGAGUUUGGAGAAGGUAGUUCCUCCUUAAGUGUAAGAAAUUUGAAAUUUCAUGCAUAUUGGGUUGUUAGAUGUAGUUCCUACUUCCUUAUGGUGCAUUGAGUAUAUUUAGCUUAGAGAUUAAGUUCCUUUUUAGUUGUGUGCAUUUAGAUGAGUUGUGUGCAUUUAGAUGAGUUGUGUGCAUGAUGGGCUGCUAGUCUUGGUCUUUGGCCUAGAAACGUGCUUAGAAUCUCAUUCGAGGACGAAUGAUCCCAAAGGGGAGAUAAUGUAACACCUCGGAUUCGAAGCAAGGCAAAUCGCAGCUUUUAGGGAUAAUUGCAGCUGCCAUCUACGAGGACCAACCACGGUCUGUGGGUUGACUUACGGACCGUAGGUGGGGCCGUGGAUAGCAACCUCACAAAAUGGUCCAGGCAUGGACCACGGAGGGACCUAUGGACUGUAGGUGGGUCCACGCCCCGUGGUCCAGCCAACUAUCAAUGGCCAGAAUUCUCUGACAACAAACGACAACUGACCAGGACGGACCGUAGGUCCAUCCACGGUCCGUCGAUUGUGGUCUCAUGGGUCAGGACUGGCAGUUAUUUUUAGGGGAUUAUGGGUCUUUUCCAGCUUUAAUUAAAUCAAUGUGGUGUCAAUUUUUCCUAAACCUAGACCACUUAUAUAAGGAUUUUAGACCCUUUAACUCACUCAGUUAAGUCAUUCUCUCAAUUCACAAAAGAAACCCCAAAACUCCUCUUAAAUAUUAUCUCUCUAGAAGGUAGAAGAAGAAUAAAAAAAAAUGAGGAGAUUGAAGCUAGGUCAAGAUCAAGUCUACCAAUCUUCAAGCUUUGGUGGGCAUUGAGACUAAGGUAUGAUGGCUUUUCAUCCAUGGGAUUCUUCCUCCCAUGGAGUUCCCUAGAAUUCCAUAAUUUGAAGAAGAUUUUUCCCAAUUCUAGUUAGGGUUUCUUCCAUUGUUGUGGGUUAUGAUGAAUGUUGAUCCAAUUUAGUGGAUUAUGAUUGUUUAUGAUUGAAUUCAUAGAAUUGCAUGUAUUUAAGAUGAAACUAUAUGUAACCAUGCCUAUCCUAUGAUUUUAGGGUUGAAUUGAUAUAGUUGGGUUUGAUGUCAUGUAAGGGAAACUCUAUGGGUUAGAUACGUCCUUAUAGGAUUGAUGAAUUAUGACUAGAAUUGCUUGAGAUUGAAGCAUAUAUGGACAAUAUGAUGUUAAUUGCUUGAAAGUAAAGCAUAGAUGAUGAUCAUGAGAUGUAGUGCUUUGAGAGUAAAGCCUAGACUAUGAUUUGUUAAUUGAUAAUGUUGUAAUUUGGAAGGGAUACUUUCUAUAAUGAAUUGACAAACACGAUUGUAUGAAUGUGAAAGGUUUACUCACAUUAAUGAUUCUAGGUUGAAAGGCUUGCUCACCUAAAAUGAAUCUAGACUAAAAUGCUUAAUGAAUGAUGAGGCUAGAGGCGAUUACCCUUGACCUCCAUAUACAAGGAUAUGAGGUGAUUCACAUACUCCUUAGAAUUGAACAAGAGGUGAGUCCCCACGUUCCUACUAUGAUGAAUGGACAUGGAGGCGAGUACUCAUGCUCCUUAUGAAAUGAUGUGGAUGCGAGUACCCGGAAUUUAAAAGUAAGUAACGCCAGAGGCGAAUACCCAUUAGCCUUUAUAAGCUAGGCAUUGAGGGGAAUCCCCAUAUCUUUAAAAGUAAGUAUGAUUAAUGUGAUUAUGUUAUGAAGUGACUUGUUUGGAGUGUUGCUAGAUAUGCCUUCUAUGAUGUAAUCUUGACUAGAGGCGGACGACCUAAGUCUUGUUAAAUCUUAAGUGAGGUUACUUAAGGGAGUAUUCCUCUUUCAUUAUGAUGCUUAUUAUGUAUUGAUUAUGCUCGUGCCUUAUGUCUUAUGUUGACUAAUGCUUUUGAUUAUGUUGUUUAUGCAAGCCAUCAUAUUUAGUACUUGAUUGUACUAAUGCAUACUCUUGCCUACAUUCUUAUCAAACGUAAGGUCCGGCAUUCCCGAUUCACACACUUGUGGCUAGGUUCUUAGUUGAUCAAGAAGUAAAGCUUUGGUGAGUCCUCAUUGUAUUUGAGGAUUGGAUCACCCUAUCUCUUUUAUGUCUUUCUUUUCAUGUUGGACUGUUGUAUGGGUUGCGUCCCAAGAUUUAUCUUCUUAUGUUAUAUGGUUUGAGACAAUGUUGUUAGACUUCCGCUCGUUUUAUAAAAGACUUUGAUUGUAUUGAAAGGUUUUAAAUUCCCGCUCAUUUCUAUUACUUUAUGUUAUGAUAUGCUAAGUGGCUUGUAUGAGUCCUCACGGGGUUUUAUACGCCUUAUUACAUAUAGGGGGUACCCCUGCGUCGUUUCAAUUGUGAUGCAUCCAAGGUCAGCUUAGGUUGUGUGUUGAUGCAGCAAGGUAAGGUCAUAGAUUAUGCUUUCUAGAUAGCUUAAGGUCCAUGAGAAGAACUACCCAAAUCAUGACCUCGAAUUUGUAGCUGUAGUGUUUUCCCUAAAGAUUUUGAGACUUUACUUGUAUAGUGUUCAUGUUGAUGUUUCCACAGAUCAUAAGAGCCUCAAGUAUGUGUUCACCCAAAAAGAGUUGAAUCUUCAUAAAAAAGAUGGCUUGAAUUCCUCAAAGACUAUGACAUGAAUGUGCUCUACCAUCCGGGUAAAGGCCAAUGUAGUGGCAGACGCGAUCAACAGAUAAUCCAUGAGUAGUGUGGCACACGUUGAGGAAGAGAAGAAAGAAUUAGCCAGACAUGUUCACCGGCUUGCUCAUUUAGAAGUUUGUCGUAUGAACACCUCAGAUGGUGGUGUGAUAAUUCAAAAUGGGUCAGAAUCUUCGUUGGUAGCAGAGGCUAAGGAGAAACAAGAUAAUGAUCUUAUAUUGCUUCAGUUGAAGGUGCAUUUCAUCAGUAGACGGUUGAGGUAUUCUCCCAAGGGGGAGAUGGUGUACUUCGUAAUCAGGGUGGUCUCUUAUAUGUCCCUAAUGAGGGUGAGUUGAGGCAGAAAAUCCUUAAAGAAGCCCAUAAUUCUAGAUAUUCUAUUCAUCCGGGUGCUACUAAGAUGUACCGUGAUCUAGGAAAAAUCUAUUGGUGGAACGGUAUGAAGAUGGACAUCGCAGAUUUUAUGUCUAAGUGUCCUAACAGUCAACAAGUUAAAGUCGAACAUAAAAAAACCAGGAGGUAUGACUCAAUAGAUUAGCAUUCCUACAUGAAAGUGGGAAGUGAUAAACAUGGAUUUCACUACGGGUUCACCUUGUACUCGUAGACAGCAUGACUCUGUUUGGGUGAUAGUGGAUAGAGUCACUAAGUCAGCUCACUUCUUGGUUGUCAAUACUACAGAUUCACUGGAGGAUUAUGCUAGACUCUACAUCAGCGAGAUAGUCAAGUUGCAAGGGGUUCCUUUGUCUAUUAUUUCGGAUAGAGGUCCUCAGUUUACCUCUCAUUUCUGCAGAUCGUUUUAGAAAGGUCUUGGUACUCAGGUAAAUCUCAGUAUAGCAUUUCAUCCGCAGAUGGAUAGUCAAGAAGAGUGAACCAUUCAAACCUUAGAGGAUAUGUUGAGAGCUUGUGUGAUCGAUUUCAAGGGUAAUUGGGAUGAUCACCUACCUCUCAUAGAGUUCGCUUAUAAUAAUACCUUAUAUUUUAGUAUUCAGAUGGCCCCGUAUGCGGCACUCUAUGGCCACAAAUGCAUGUCUUCGGUUGGUUGGUUCGUAGUAGGUAAAGCGGCCUUGAUUGGGCCAGAUUUGGUUCAUGAGGCUAUGGAGAAAGUUCAGCUCAUCAGAGAUAGACUAAAAACAUCUCAGAGUCGUCAAAAGUCCUAUGCAAAUGUAAAAAGAUGAGACUUAGAGUUUGAAAUCGACGAUUGGGUUUUCCUGAAGGUGUCACGGAUGAAAGGGGUGAUGAGAUUUGGAAAGAAAGGUAAGCUCAGUCACAGGUAUGUAGGUCCUUACAGAAUCUUGAAAAAUUGGUAAUGUGCCUUAUGAGUUAGAUUUGCCAACAUAAUUAGCAGCAGUUCAUCCAGUCUUUCACAUUUCAAUAAGUGUGUGGGUGAUCUGACAUCAAAGUACCCUUAGAGAGUGAGGUUGUGAAGGAUAGCCUCACCUAUGAAGAGGUUCCAAUUGAAAUUCUUGACCAUCAGGUGCGUAGGUUGAGAAAUAAGGAUGUCGCUUUAGUAAAGGUUUUGUGGAGGAGUCAGUCUAUAGAGGGAGCUACUUGGGAAGCAUAGGAAGCCAUAAUGGCAAAGUAUCCUCACCUUUUUCCUUCCGAUUCCAUUUCAGCUUGAGGUAAUAGUUCCUCUCCGGUCUUUUAAUUAAUCUUGUGUAAUUUCAAUCUCAGUAUCUUGUUCCCUCUAUUAUCAUUGCAUUUCAGCAUAUUUGCAUGAUUCAUGGCACUCAAAUCAGUUGAAUAUCAACCUCUAGUACUCAAUUGGUAGGGUAUGCAGCUCUUUCCUCCAAACUGAGCUUCUAACACAUUGGCUUAGAGAAUAGCUAGAAUGGUUAAAAUAUACAAGUCAUAAGCCCAAAAAAUGGACCAUGGAACCCUCCACGAAGCCCUAGACGGGUCGUGUAGGGCACCACGGUCCUUUAAAGGGCUCAUUAAGGUCUUCGAGCACCUGCCACAGGGAGGCUUCACCUCGAAAAACACCCAGACGAUUUGUGGUAACUUGGACAGCCCAUCUGGUGGGUUGCAUAAAUCCCCCCCCCUCCCCAUCAAUAAGAUCCCACCCCAAGUCAUUGGUUAAGGACCAUAAAUGUCUAAACAGUUUACGAAGCUUCACACAGACUGUGAAGUCAUCUGUGAAGGGGACUUAUUAGGUCUUCAGUUGUGGGGAAACUCCAAACGAUCAUAUAUUUAAGAACAAAAUGAAAUUAGUGGCCCAUGACCUAUCAAAUUAAGGUAUUUGAGUCCUUUUUCCAACGCCACCACGUUUGCCUAAUUUCGAGCUCGGAAUAAAAAGUUAUGCUCGUUCUAGUGAAUCCAUGUCGGAUAGGGCAGCAUCACGACCCACUAGACGGGUUGUGAUGAUCUAAACGACCUCUGAAGAUCUUAUUGAAUGUCACCUCGUAAUUUUAAAGUGAGGUUGCACCCCCAAGGCCACUAUGAAGGACCAUGAAUGCCUAGAAAGUCAAUGAAGCUUAACACGCACCGUAAAGUCGUCCGUGAAGGCGACUUAUAACUUAGACUUUUGGGUCAACUUCAAAUGACCAUAUCUUUCUAAACAAAAUGAAUCAGGUGGCUCAUGACCUAUCAAAUUAAAGAUCUCUGAGUCCUCUUUUCAAUGUCACCGAGUUUGCCUAAUUACAAGCUUGGACUAAAAAGUUAUUCUUGAAAUAGUGAAAACCUAUCGGGUAGAGCAUCCUCACGACCCACUUGAUGGGCCGUGGUGCUCUAGAUAGCCUCUCUUGAAGUCACUUCAUCAGCAUUUAAAUUAGGGUCGCAUUGGCCUUUUUCCCUAUGCAUUUGGUAAUUAAACUACGUUGUUUGGUGCUUAAACUAAGUCAUUUUACUCAGUCUAAACCUAAUAAUCUAGUCAGAAACUACCUAAACCCCUCAUUCUCCCAAAUCAUCCAAUUUUGAAAGAAAAGAAGAGAAAAAGGGAUAGUUUCUCCCAAGAACAAGUAGAGGUUUUCUUUAACUUAAGCUCCAAAAUCCAAAGGAUUUCUCUGUAGGUUUCGUCACCAGGUAUGUGGGAUUUCAUUAAUGGGUUCCUUUCCCCCAUUAGGUCCCUAGAAUUCAGUCAGUUUCUGAAUUCUCAUCAAUUGCUCAGACUUAGGGUUUCUAAAUCUUGGGGAUACAUUGUAAUAUAGCUGAUAUAGUUUCCAUUAAAUUGGUUACAUGCUUUCUUGGAGAAUUAAUGUAGCCCCAUGUAUAGAACUCCAAACCCUAGCUUGUAUUAAUUAUUAGUAUCUCUUAAAUUAUACUUGCAAGGUAGAUCAGUAAGAAAAUCAUGCUUUAGAAUCAACUGCCAUAUCUUUCGGUAUAUAUAUGUUACAUUCUCAGAUAACAUUUCAGUAUUUUUAGCUACUCAGUAUUUCAGUUGCAUUUUAGCCAUACAUAUUCAGUUGGGAGUAGACUUAGCAUCGAGUUGGACUAGGGUUCAGCGUAGCCUCAAAGUCCCAGAACAAUGUACCAACAUAGGUGCAGAGGUCCCCUAUGUUGGGCAUCAGCUUUUAGUGAUCACGCCACAUUUAUGCCUUUAUACCUUUAGCAAGGUAUAUUGGGUCCUAUCGAUGGGGCAUAUACAUCAGACUCCUUGUUUAUCUCACAUGGAUUAUGUCAAUUAAUAGUAUCUCCCACAGUCAGACUCUUAUUGCAUUGACCAUGUUAUUGGCAUUUACUUUAGUAUUAAGUUCAACAUGUUAUUUUCAUGAUUAGUACUUGGUCAUUGCAUCUAGUUCAACUUUCAGUUAUAUCUCAACAUAUCAUUUCCAUGUUCAGUAUAUAGUGUUCAUCUUAGUAUCUAUAUAUUGCAUGCUCAGUACAUUCAAAGUUAUGAUGCAUACUUUUUGCGCUACAUCAAUGUAUGAUGUAGGUUUAGGCGCUCCACAUCCAUAUCAUGCUUAGUUCAACUUCUACUCCAUACUCAGCAGCUUUAAUGGUGAAUCCUCAUAGUUUGAGAACGUUUGUUUAUGUGUUUGAUUUAGUUAACCCAUUAUCAGGUUUCAGUACUUUUAGAGUUAGUUGGGGACUUGUCCCAGCAGCUCAUCAGUAUUAGAGGCUUUCAGGCAUAGAGUUAGUAUUCAAUUGUUUUGGGUUGUUCCCCAUUGACAUUUAGUUAUAUUCUCACUUGAAUUUCUUUUAGUCUUAACUCACUUCACAAUUACGUUUCUACUUAGUUGUAUUUCAGUAUGCAUCUAAUAUGCCAAACUCGGGAUUAGCUUGGGAUCACUUGUGAUCCUAGGUCCCGUUUUGCGCCUAGGGGGUAGUCUCGAGGCGUGACAUUGGUGUUCUGAGGGUUGGUGCUAAUGGUUAUUACAUUAGCAAGGUCAUUUCCUUCCUCUAUGCUUAGAGAUUGGUGAAUAGAGGGUGUUUGUCUUACCUAGAAUUUAGUCAGAACAAUAGUGUUGAGUCACCUCUUAUGGAGACCAUUCCCAUGCUUCAGGAGUUUCAAGAUAUAUUCCCUAUUGAUCUUUCAGGUGUUCCUCCCGAUAGAGAUAUUGAUUUUACUAUUGAUUUGGAUCCAGGCACUAAGCCCAUUUAUAUUUCUCUCUAUUGUAUGCCCCAGUAGAGUUGAAUGAGUUGAAGGAUCAAUUGCAGGAUUUGUUGAGUAAAGGAUUUAUUCGCCUUAGUAUGUCACCUUGGGGUGUUCUGGUCUUGUUUGUGAAAAAGAAGGAUGGAACUAUAAGGAUAUGUAUCAAUUACAUGUAGUUGAACAAAGUGACAAUGAAGAACGAUUAUCUCUCAUGCGCAAUGAUGAUUUGCUUGAUCAGCAUUAGGGAACAUCAUUUUUCUCUAAGAUAGAUUUGAGGUCCAGUUAUCUUCUAUAAGGAUUAGGGCCUGGGAAGUCUCUAAGACAGGUUUUCAGACUCGAUAUGGCCAUUAUGAGUUCUUGGUGAUGUCUUAUGGGUUGAUUAAUACCCCUUUUGCGUUCAUGGAGUUGAUGAAUGAGGUGUUUUGACCAUUAUUAGAUUCAUUUAAGAUUCUCUUCAUUGAUGAUAUUUUGGUGUACUCCAAAACCGAGGAGGACCAUGUUUGACACUUGAGGACAAUGCUUCAGAUGUUGAGGGAACAAAAGUUGCAUGCAAAAUUCUCAAAGUGUGACUUUAGGCUAGAUUUUGUGGCCAUCUUGACCCCAAAAUUCCGAAUUUAGUUGGGUAGCAUAUUCUAUUUGUGUAUACAAGGCUACAAACGAAUAUCUAGAGCCUAUUUUGUGAAUUUUUGUGCCUUGGGUGAAUUGUUGUUGUUGGUGUCAGUUAUAUUCCUUUGCAUUUGCAGAGCCCAUUUGCGUUCACAAAUAGUCAUGUCAUAUAACCUCAGCCUUUGUGAGGCCUUGACCGUGAUCUCAGAGGGCAAAGUGACUGGCCUUUGGGUUUGUGGAAGUCCUAUCGCGUUUGUGAAAGGUCGGGCGAGUUGAAUGUCACAUUCACGGGGCACUGUCUCCAUUCAUGACGGGUACUGAGGUUUGACUUUCGUGUUCGUAAGCCUCAUGCCGCGAACAUGGAGAAUUAAAUGACUGGGAGUAUGUUUUCUUCCAAAAUUGGGGACUUUCCCUGUUUUGACCUUUUUUUUUACUUGGAGAACCCUUUACAGGCGAUUUACCCUAACUCUUCAUUUCCAAUUUACUUUUUAUGACUUUGAACUUUAAAGUUUGGGGGUUUCCAAGAACCUAAGGUUUUGAUAAAAAUGGUGAUCAUUGUUUGAUUUUAGCUCUAUUUUUAAAAUGGUUUUCACCAGUGGGUUCCAAAUUCUUUAGGUAGCAUAUUUUUAUACAAAUUUCCAGAUUUAACCCUCAUUUUAAGAAAUAAGUUUUUUGGGUCAGUUUGUCCUCAUUUUCCAAUAUUCUUGAUAUGGGUGGUGUUCUUAGUUUCAAAUUCUUCUUAUGAUUCUCUAUUUGACUAGAUUGUGUUGAAUUGGAGACCCAAGGAAGGGGAAAGCUCAAGUACCAGGGUGAUCAUUUUAUUUCUUGAGGCAAGUGAACUUCUUGACCUUUGUUAUGUAUAUAGAAUCUCAUAUUUUCUUAGUGUGUAUUGGGCCGUAAUGAGAUUUGGUGAAGGGUUCGAUAUUUGUUGUUACAUGUUUAUAAGGAAUGAUUCUAAUGAAGAAAAUGGGUAAUAAAGAGGAUACUUGAUAGUAAAUUUGUGUGUGACAUUUUGUGGAUAAUUUGAGGGGUUAUAUUGACUCAUUAUUGGUGUUGUAUCAUAGAUUUGUUGUUAUGGAUUGUGUAUUGAUAUGAAAUUGUCAUUUUCUGAUUAAUUGUGUGAACAUGCCUAUUUGCAUUGGUUUAGAAACACUAUGAUGAAACUUAUUAUGAUGAGGAUGUCGAUGGGAAAUGGUUCCGAAUAUGUCGAUUAGAAAUUGUUUUGGUGAUGCCGAUGGGAAAUAGUUCCAGUGAUUGAUGAUUUUGCCGAUGGAAAAUGAUUUUCGCUAGUACAUGGACCUUCUGCAUACCCCAUGGGUUUGACCUAAUAUUCAGUUGAUGUGUAUUAGUAGGACAUACAUCCAUCGCCUUACUUGACAUUUCAUUUCAUUGAACAUCAUUACCAUUUGCGAACUAUGAGUCCUUAUUGUGGAACUUGUGAUUGAUGAAUCUAAUAUUGGGUAUUGGUUACCCAUAUAUGUUGAAGUGUUGUUAUUCGUUCUAUAUGCUAUAUGAACUGUGAACUGUUAGGUUAGGUUGAUUUUGUGUAGGUUGUAGUUGUGGAGGUUCAUUUGGAUUGUUGGGAGUACAUGUAUUUUAUAUGGAUUUACCUCGAGUUAGUGGUUUGCUUGUUGAGUAUCGUAUUGCUUGGUACUCACUACAUUGCUUCUACACUUGGGUAGGUUACGAGCCCAGAUCAUCGUGAUAUUCCUUCUUCUAUUUUACGUCUGAGGCUUAUUGACUAAUGUCCUUACAACGUUCAUAAAGUUGUUGAACAGGGUGUUUCAACUAUUUUUGGAUUCAUUUGUGAUUGUCUUUAUUGAUUAUAUUUUGGUGUAAUCCAAGACUGAGGAGGACCAUGUUCGACACUUGAGGAUAGUGCUUCAGAGGUUGAGGGUAGAGAAGUUGUAUUCAAAGUUUUCAAAGUGUGAGUUCUGGCUUGAUUUUGUGAGCCUUUUAGGACACAUGGUGUCCAAAAAAGGUAUUAGAGAGGAUCUAGCCAAGAUUGACGCAAUUAGAGGCUUGAUGAGACCUACUUCUCCUACCAAGAUUUGGAGUUUUAUGGGGUUAGAAGACUACUAUAGACAGUUUGUGCAGGGUUUCUCUACCAUAGUAGCGUCAUUGACCAGAUUGACUUGGUAGAGUGUAGGUUUUCAGUCGUUCGAGUUCUUAAGAUAUGGCUUCACUAUUUGUACGGGAUGCAUUUUGAGGUCUUCACUGAUCAUCAGAGUCUCCAGUAUAUCUUCAGAGAGAUCUGAAGUUAAGGUAGCGUAAAUGGCUCGAGCUGAUGAAGUAAUAUGGCAUGACUAUUCUAUAUCAUCCACGAAAGGUCAAUGUGGUGGCUGAUGCUUUGAUUAGGAAAACUUUUCACAUGGGGAGUCCUGUUGCGAUUAGUGUUGAGGAAAGACUUUUGGCAAAAGAUGUUCAUAGAUUAGCCAAUAGUUUUGUUUGAUUGCUAUUUCAUAGAAGAGUGGUGUUAUUUCCUUUUUUAAAGAUAGGUCUUCUUUGGUUGAGUAGAUUAGAGAGCGACAGUUUGAUGAUGAGAAGUUAUGCAUGAUUCGAUACAAUGUGUUAAGGGGUGAAGUUAGGAAAGUAAUUCGGAUGGAGUGUUGUUCUUAGAGGAGGCUCACUGUUCUAGAUACUCAAUUCCUCUGGGAGCGGCCAAGAUGUACCACAAUUUGAGUCAGCAUUACCGGUGGUGCGGUAUGAAAAAUGACAUUUUUUAGUUUGUGUCUAUGUAUUUGACUUGCAAGCAGGUCAAAUGUGAGCAUCAGUGGGCUAAAGAUGUGUCUCACAAGAUGCCCAUUCCUACUUGAAACUGGGAACGUAUCACCAUGGACUUUGUAGUAGGUUUGCCUACCACUGUGGGUGCUAUGAUUAUAUUUGGGGUUGUUGAUAGGUUGACCAAGUCCACCUAUUUCAACAGAGUUCACGUGAUAUACACGGCAUAGAUGUUAUCUCACUCUUCAUCAGUAAGAUAGUUCGACUACGUAGAGUGCAUAUUUCUACUGUCUCUUAUACAGAUUCACUGUUCACUUCUCACUUCUAGAGGGCCUUACAACAUGGUUUGGGUACUCGACUAGACAUGAGUACAACUUUUCACCCUCGGACAAAUGGAUAGUCUGACCGAAUGAUUCUAGUGUUAGUGGACAUGCUUAGAGUAUGUCAGAUUGAUUUUGGUGCUCAUUGGGAUCAAAAAUUUCCCUUAGCUGAGUUUGCCUAUAACAGCAGCUACCAUUCCAAUAUUCAGAUGGACCUAUUUGAGGCGUUGUUUAGUGGGAGGUGUAGAUCUCCGAUCGGUUGGUUUGAUGAAGUUGAGACGGAAUCAUUAGAUAAAGACUUACUUACAGAUGUCAAGAAGCAGAUCUGUUUGAUUUAGAGUAGGUUGGUGAUGGCUCAGAGUCGACAUAAGAGUUAUGCAUAUAGGACGGUUUAAGAUCUAGACUUUAUGAAAGGCGAUCAUGUUUGGCUCAGAAUGUCGCCCAUAAAGGGUGUGAUGAAAUUCAGGAAUAAGGGAAAGCUUAACCGUAGAUUCAUUGGCCCUUUUGAUAUUUUGGGAUGGAUUGGAGAGAUAUCCUAUAAGUUGGCCUUCCCUCCUAGCUUGUCAGUUAUGUAUCUUGUUUUCCAUGUCUGCAAUGAUUGAAAAGCAUGUGCGGGAUGAGUCUCAUGUGAUUUCACUUGAUUUAGUAGUGUUGGGUCCAUACUUGUCUUUUGAGAAGGAGCAUAUAGCCAUAUUAGAUAGGCAGGUUCGAAAUCUUAGUAACAAGGAGGUUUCUUAGGUGAAAGUGUAGUGAAAACAUUGUUCAGUUGGAUAGGCAACUUGGGAGAUGUAACACCCCGUAGUCUAGUAGGCCAACUAGGGCAAAGUAUGAGUACAACGAGUCAAGACUAGAGGACAAGAGCCAAGGCAAAAGGGCAAGGGCCAAGGCUGCCCCAAGUCUCCAAGACACUGCCCCACUUCACGACCACCACCACGGCCGAUGGUGUGGACCACGGCUCGUGUUGUGGUCCGUGAUGGCUAAGGCAGUAACUACUUUGAGGCUGCCUUUAGAUGGCUCAUCUUCACGAGCCACUUCACAGCCAGUGGUGAGGACCACGACUCGUGGGAAGGCCCGUGAAAAUGCCUUCAUUUUGUCGAGGCCAAGGCAUGGUGGCCUAGCCACUGGUCCAAGGACAACGAGCAGGACCACGGCCAGUGGUGAGGACUAUGGCAUGUGGAGCCUCUCGUAGUGCCUGGCACUAGGCUGCCUAAUGAGGGUUAUUUUGGGAAAUUUCUAAUUAAAUGGGUAUUAAGUGAGGUCAUUUUGUAUAGUCUUAGUACACAUAUAUAAGCUAUUUUAACCCUUUAACCACCCCAAUUAAUUCAUUAUUUCCAAAACCCCAAAAGAAUCCCAAAUUUCAUCCUCUCAAAUAUUCUCUCCCUAGAAAGUGAAGAAGAAGAGGGUCAAGCUAGGUCAAGUAUCCAUUUUUUCAAGCUUGGUAGGCUUUGUAAUCAAGGCAUGAUGUAUUAUUCAUGAAUGGAUUCCUUUCAUCCAUGAAGCCCCCGUGUUUUCCCCAAUUGUGAAGAUGAAUCCCCAAUUCUAGUUAGGGUUUCUUCCCAUAUUGUAGGUAUUGUUGUUUGUUGAUCCAAUUGAGUGGAUAAUGAUCAAUUAUGAUUGAACUAGUAAUCUAUCAUGUUUUUAAGAUGAAAUUACAUGUUUACAUUCCUAAACCAUAUCUAGAGAGAUGAAAUUGAAGUAAGUGGGUUUUAUGCCAUGAAAGGGGAAAUUGAGGAUUUAGAUGUAAUCUUCUAGAAUUGAUGAAGUAUAUUGUAUAUCUCUUGAUAGUUAAGCAUAUAGACAUGAAUUGAAUGUGAUUAAUGUAUGUAUGAUGAACCAUGGUUAGAAGAGAUAGAGAUUGGGGUAAAAUGAUGAAGUAUGACUAGAUUGCUUAAGAUUGAAGUACAUAGAUGUGAAUUGAAUGAAAUCAAGUAUAUGUACAUGAAUUAUGACUUGUAAGCUAUGAUGAUUAGAAUUUUCUUGAGACUAAGGCAUGCAUGAUGAAUGACUAUUGUUAGGGAUUUUAGAAUAAAGUUUAUAUGUUGAAUAACAACUAGUAGGGCUUGAGAGUAAAGCUAAUAUGAUGAGUUAAGACUAGUAAGGCUUUAAGAGGGAAGCUAUAUGAUGAAUGUUGAUUGUAUAUGGUGUUGUUGUGGAAGGCUUACCCACAUGACUUAUAUUAUGAAUGUACGAGAUUAUGCAUGUUCUUAUAAAACCUAUGUAAAUGCCUUAUGAACACUUUGAGGGUAAAGUGUCUAUGAUUAUGAUAUUGAAUAUGACAUGGAAGCUUAUACGCUAGUUGAGUUCGGCUUCCAAAUGGAAUCCUUAUAGGCUAGUUGAGUCUGGGUUUCCAAAUAUAUCUCAUGGGAUGGAGACCAUUUACACUAGUUGAGUUCGGGUUCCCAAGUAUAUCUCAUGAUAAUUGCCUAAAAUGAAUCUAAGAGUAAAAGUGAUCAUGGAUGCUGAUAGUUGCUCAUGCAUGAUUUAAUGAGCCUUCUUAAUGAACUAAGACAUGCUUAAAGAAAGUAUCUCGUUAGUGUUCAAAGGCUUCAUGUAAGAACUAAGGUAGCUUGAAGUAGUGAUAAGAUAUCCCUUCAUGAAUAUCUUGACUUGGUAAGAUAAGACCAAGCUUUGUAGCUUGAGUUAGGAGUCCUCAUGGAUAGCUUUGGAUUAAGCAAUAGUACCUUUCCAAUGGUUAGCUUGAACUAAGCACAAUAGAGUGCUUUGCAUGGUAGCUUGACUUGGUUAGGCCACACCAUAUCAUUGGUAGCUUGGAUUGAGCAAUGUUACCCUUCCUUGAGUAGCUUGGACUUGCAUGAUAGAGUGAUUUCCGUGAUAGCUUGGUCUAACAUAAGUAAGGUGUUUUUCCUUGAUAGCCUUGAAUUGGUAAUUCAUAACCAUUCAUGAGUGAUGAUGUGUGGUGGACUAGUAAAGAGGUAUUCUUCCAUGACUAGUAUGAAUAUGAGGGACAAGUCACUAAUCAAAGUAGCAUGUAUAUGAUGAAACAAGAUUACUUCAAGGAAGUAUUGUAAGUAUGUUUUGAUAUGAGGUUUACUUGUAUGAUGUAUGCCUAGUUUGCAUUGUAGCUUGAAAGGCCCUUCCAAUACAUGUGUGACUAAAGGUGAAUGUUCCCUUGUCUAUGAGAAAUAAGCUAAGUAUGAGAUCAAAAGAUGAUAAAUACGAAUGAGGGCCUAAAGUGACUUUCUUAGCAUGGGUGAGAUUAUGGGGUCUUAUCCAUGCAUUGCACAAGCUUGCCUUGAGGUGACUUAUGAAGUGUUUCUCUUAUGUCAUGCUAAACAAGAUGCAUUGAUUAUGCCUAUGACUAUGUUGUUAUCUCUUUUGCUUAUAGCCUAUGUCUUAUAAUGAUGUCUCUUAUGCUUAUGACUUAUUAUGAUUUUGGUAUAUGUCUUAUGUUGACUAAUGCCUCUAUUAUGCUUAUGUUGAUGAUUAUGCUAGCCAUCAUAUUUGUACUAACGCAUAUUUUUGCCUGCAUUCUUAUCAAAUAUAGGGUCCGGAGAUAUUGACUUCCAUCAUCGUGGUUAGGUUCCUGGUAGAGCAAAAAGGGAGGUUUUGGUGAGUCCUCAUAGCAUCGAGGACUUGAUCACCCUUUCCUUUUUAUGUAUUUAUUUUUAUGUUAGAACUAUUGUAUGGGCUGUGUGACAAAGAAUAUUCAUGUUUUAGUUGGUUUGAGACAAAGUGUAUAAGACUUCUGCUUCAUUUUAUGAGACUUUGAUGUUAUGAAAAUUUAUUAAAUUUCCGCUCAUUUCUAUUAUCUUAUGUUGUAAGAUGCUAAGGGGAAGUAUGAGGCCUCUCAGGGUCUUGUACGCCUUGUUACAUCUAGGGGGUACCCCUGGGUCGUGAUAGGAGACGAAGUUUUACAUGCGUUCUAGAUAUCCUCAGCUUUUUUAAGCUUCAGGUACUUUUUUUUACUUUAUGUUUGAAGAUGAACAUGGUUUCUAGUGGGAAAUAAUAUAAUGAACUGGAAGGUCAUUUUUGAAAAUUUUCGGUGAAGUUUUGUGCCUUGUGUAGAUUGUUGUUGCUGGUGUCUGUUAUAUUCCUUUGCGUACAAGAAAUUUAUUCCCAUUACCGAAAAGUCGUGUGGUCUGACCACUGCUUUCGCAAAGUCUUGACCUCGAUUGCAAAGGGGGAAGUGUCUGGCCUUCACAUUCGCGGUGUUCUUUCUGCAUUCAUGAUAGGUAAUAAGCUUUCACCUCCACGUUCGUGGGACUCAAGCAGGGAACACAGAGAAUUAAAAGACUAGCAAUAUGUUUUCUUCCAAAAUAGGAUUUUUCCUAUUUUCACCAAUUUUGGACUUGGAAAACCCUUGUUAGGCGAUUUCAAAUAGGAAUUUCGUGAUAAUCUUUUAAGUAUUUAUUACCCUAAAUCUUCAUUUCCCAUUUACUCUUCAUAAUUUUAAACAUCAAAUUAGGGAUUUUGAACUUUAAAGUUUGGGAGUUUUCAAGAACUAAAGGUUUUAAUAAAAAUGGUGAUUAUGGUUUGAUUUAACUCCAUUUUUAAAAUGAUUUUCACUGGUAAGUUUCAAAUUCUUUGAGUAACACAUUUUUGUACAAAUGUCAUAUGUAACCCUCAUUUUUGGAAAUGGGUGUUUGGGACAAUUUGUCCCUAUCUUCCAAAAUUCUUGAUAUCGGUGUUGCUAGUGCAAAAUUCGUAUUGAUGUCUUGAGGCAAGUGAAUUUCUUGACCUUGGUUAAAUCUAUAGAAUCUUGUAUUUACUUAUUGUGUGUUGGGUAGUAACGGGAUUUGGUGAAGGGUUUGAUAUUUGUGGUUACAUGUUCAUAUGGAAUGAUUGUAAUGAUAAAAAUGGGUAAUAAAGAGGCAACUUGAUAGUAAAUUGGUGUGUUAUACUUUGUGGAUGGAUUCACGGGUUAUAUUGACUCAUUAUUGGUGUUGUAUCAUAUUUGCGUUGAUAUGGAUUGUGUGUUGAUAUGAAAUUGUCAUUUUCUCAUUAAUUGUGUGAACAUGCCUAUUUGCAUUUGUUUUGGAACAUUGUGAUGAAACCUAUUGCGAUGAGGAUCUCAAUUGGAAAUGGUUCCGGUGAUAUAUAUAUAUAUAUAUAUUAACCUUAUUUAUAAGCCAACAAGAAAGGACUAACACAGCAAUAACUAAUUGUACCUGAUGCAAUAUAAGUUGUACUAUGUAAUGGACCCAUUUCAUUGAGUUGGAUUUCAUGCAUUAGCCCAUUUUAUUAAACAUUUUUCACCUCUUCUUCUCUACUCUAAACACGUGUGAUAACCGUGUCCAUAUUUCCAAGUUUUGCUUCUAACCGCAUCCUUUUUACUAAUCAAAAGCUUACAACCUCAAAUCUCAAAUCCCUCUUCAACAAUGGCCGUAAGCUUCAAUUUGGUCCUUUAUCAAUGUUACUCAGAGGGCUCCCCGUCUUUCUCAUCAUUUUUUCCAAAAAAUUUAUGGGUCUUUUAUAUUUUCAGACGAUUGGAACCAAUACUACCUUAAAGGUAGUCUUUGAUUUGAAAAUUUUUAUAUUGGUUGUUUGCAUGUCAUUUUUAUGGCUUCUUAGUUCUACCGUUUCAUGUUUCUUGAAUUUGAUAUUUGUCAGGAGACUCGGGAAUAUGAAAUAGCUAUUUAAAGUUAGUUCAUGUGAGUGUUUUGCUAUUUACCGGUAAGCACUCCAAUUUGAGCCUCUUUUUUCUAAUUUGCUCAUAUUUUUCUUGAGUUUUUAUGAAAUAAUUGUCUUCUUUUGGUGAACGAACACAUCACAUAGUAUUACAAAUAGAAUCCUAAAUUGGUUCUAGAGAAUAUUGAUUUCCUAUCUUCAUGCUGUCAUUGGAUUCAAUUGGCUAUUUUAAUUUUUAGGUGUCUAUUUGGAGUUCAAUUUCUCAUAAUUUUAAAGGUUUUCGUUUGCUUAUUGACAUGCAGUAUCACACCAUUAGAUCUUGAUUCAUGUUAUUUAUCAGGGUAACAUACUCUGUGUGGAAUAUGUUUUUCAUGAACUUAUAACCUUGAAAGUAUUUGGAAUAAUUAAGGUAGGACUUUGUGAGAAAGUAGAUUCUAGGGUGAUGCCCGUGCGAUGCACGCCCCAACAAAUUGAUUUUUAAUAUGUUACAAUAUGCCAAAUUUAUCAUCAAACCAAGGACCAAAGGAUAUAUUAUUUGGCAAAUUUUUCCAUCAUUAGAGCUUGUAUUAGCUUCAAGUUCAUAAUGCAUUAGUUCCACCAAAAAGAUGCAAGAAAAUUCAUACAUAUGUCUGUUUGUUUGACACCAUAAACGUACAACAAAAUAUAUGUUUGUUUGUUUGACACCAUAAAUGUACAACAAAAUUUAGAAAGAAAAAAAAUAUACUACAUGUAACUUUAAAGCAAUAACCAAGAGAAUCACUCAUGCCAUCACUUAGUUAUGGAUGAAAAAUGCAUGUAUCUCAAGUGUAAAAUCAGAUGUACUAUAAUGUGAGUGGUCUGAAUUUCAUGUCGAAGAAACAUCGCUAGGACUUUCUGAUGUCUUUAGUUGUGUAAUUGCAAGGUUGUAGCUCUUACUUUUUGGUCAAUAGUUUGCUCUUAGUCUAUGUUGGCAUGCCUUUGGUUCUGGCAGUUUGACAAAAAAAUAUUGGCAACUUGGCAUGCUUUUGGUUAGUUGUAAGCAUGUUCAGGAAUAUAUUCGUUGGUCCUUCUUUGUAAAAUUUUAGUUCUUUUUAUGCAAUCUUUUUCAGGAUAUUGAGGCCAAUAACCGGAAAGUAAAUGUAUACACUGAAAAUCAUACUUUUCAAGAGACUAGAUGGAACCGUUAACGAGUUGGUGAUCUUAUUAAGGUGUACAAGGAUCAAUAUUUCCCCACUGAUUUGCUUUUGCUUUCAUCUAGCUACGAGGAUGGAAUAUGUUAUAUCGAAAUCUCCAAUCUUGAUGGAUAGACUAACCUUAAGGUGAAGCUUGCAUUAAAUAUCACAUCCUCUUUGUAAGCCGAUAGUUCUUCUCAAACUUUUAAAGUUGUUGUUAAGUGUGAAGAUCCAAAUGAAAUUUGUAUACUUUCAUUGGAACUCUGUAUUAUGUUAAUCAGCAGAACCCUCUUUCAGUGCAACAAAUACUUCUGCGAGGUUCCAAGCUACGCAAUACUUUAUGGUGUGGUUAUUUUUACUGGUCAUACACAAAAGUCAUGCAAAAUUCUACAGAUCCUCCUUCUAAGAAGAGUGGAAUUGAGAAAAAGAUGGAUAAAAUAUAUGUCCUUUUUGGUACCUUGAUUACAGUAACUUUUAUUGGAUCCAUCUUUUUUGGGAUUGAAACUAAAAAUGACAUUUUUGGUGGGAAACUAAGGAGGUGGUAUCUUCAACCAGACAAGACAAGUGUGUUUUAUGAUCCUAAAAGAGCUUCACUGGCUGCAUUUUUUUCAUUUCUUGACAGCCUUUAUGUUGUAUGGUUACUUGAUUCCUAUUUCGCUAUGUGUGUUUAUUGAAAUUGUGAAGGUUUUACAGAGCAUAUUCAUCAAUCAAGAUAGGGAGAUGUACUAUGAGGAAACAGAUUAGCCAACUCAUGCAAGAACAUCUAAUCUGAAUGAGGAACUUGUGUUGGUUGACACAAUACUCGCAAUCAAAACAAACACCUUAACAUGCAACUCCAUGGAGUUUGUCAAAUGUUCAAUAGCAGGUGUUGUGUAUGGACGUGUUGUGACAGAAAUAGAGAGGGCCCUGGCAAAGCAAUAAGGAGAUGGAUCACAGGAAGUAGGCGAUACUUCCAAUGACGUGUAGGAAUCAAGUGACCCUACUGUUAACUCGAAGAAAUCUAUUAAAGGAUUCAACUUCAAAGAUGAGAAUAUAAUGAAUGGUUAAUGGGUCCACGAGUCUCAUCGAGACAUAUUACAAAAAAAUUUAGAGUGCUGGCGAUUUGUCAUACUGUUUUUGUGAUGUGAACAAAAAAUAGGUGAGAUCUCUUAUGAAGUAGAGUCACCAGAUGAAGCUGUCUUUGUCAUUGCAGCAAGACAACUUGCAUUUCAGUUCUUUGAAAGAACACAAAGCAGAAUUACACUGCAUGAAUUGAAUCAUCAGAGUGGCAAGAUGGUUGACACGUAAAUCUUUGAUUUAGUUUGUUUCCUGUAUUGGAAUCUUAAAUAUUCAGAAGUUCUGUUCAAAGAUGCGAACGUGGUUUACUAAUCCAGCAGCCAAGAAUACAUCCACAUUUUCCUAUUUUGCCCUUUUGGGGUGUGGUUUAUCGAUUCUGUUUUAUUUCAGCUCUUUUAGUUGUGAAGAAUCCCUGGCAGGACUUCUUUCUGUUGGUUGAUAUUUUCUCGAGGUAGUGAAAAGCAAGAGCCAUUUGAGGAGCAAUGUAUUGCUUACUUCCUCGAAAGGAUUAAAAUAACCAAAAGAAUUAUGUUUGUGAUACUUAUUUAGUAUCUCUUAUUUUUAAUAUGAAUUGUGUUUAUGUUGCUUAUUUAGUAUCUCUAAUUCCUUUUUUAUAUGGAUAGAAUAUGGAUUGCAUGAGACUGCAUGUGUUCUGGUGUCAUUUUGCUUGCAGGUACAACUUUCAAAUUUAAUGCACUAUUUUAAUAUAUUAAGGCUCUUCUCCCAUUGGGUUCGUAAGUACAGAUUAGCUUCUACAGGGCAUGCUUCUUUUUAUUUGUUUUGAGAAUUCUUUUCGGUGUACUAUUUUCAGAUAAACAGUUAUGGAGGAGUACAUGAAAUUAAACACAAUUGUCACUCUAUGGGAAAGGUUUGGUAUGUGCAAGUGAAGUCGCGGAAACAACUUUCUUUCCAUCCAUUGGAUUGGUUAUAAGAGUGGAAAUACCGACAAAGAUUUAAUCUUUGGAUCUUUUCAACUGAGGACCUUUUGAAAGAACCUUUUGUUCUAUUCUAUUCCUCAAUUGUCCUCCAAACAUCUUUUAUAACAUUCACUUCUUCAAAUCUUCUCAUAAAGAGACGAGUGCUAGAAAUGGUCGGUACAACUAUUGAAGUUGGUCAUGUUUAUUCCUUAGCAGACAUUAUCAUAGCACAACCUUAUGUACGAGGCAAACAUUACUCAAGUAAUUUAAUCUUUGGAUCUUUUCAAUUGAGGACCUUUUGAAAGAACCUUUUGUUCUAUUUUAUUUCUCAAUUGUCCUCCAAACAUCUUUUCUAACAUUCACUUCUUCAAAUCUUCUCAUAAAGAGAAGAGUGCUAGAAAUGGUCGGUACAACUAUUGAAGUUGGUCAUGUUUAUUCCUUAGCAGACAUUGUCAUAGCCAAAAACUAGCACAACCUUAUGUACGAGGCAAACAUUACUCAAGUUUGUUUAUAGAUAUACUAACUUGAUUGUACGUUAAAUGUGUUUAUGUAACUACAACUCUGUGAUAUUGAAAGUUAUUUGAUAAAAUUUGUGAUCUUGAGGAUUGCCCGUACUUUGACUAGAUUGGAGCUACGUUAUUGGAUAAGAUUGUUGCAGCAUUCAAUUUUAUGCUUAUGCAUAUGCUAUUUUUCUUUGCGUUAAACGUGUUUAUGUAACUACAACUCUGUGAUAUUAAAAGCUAUUUGAUAAAAUUUGUGAUCUUGAGGAUUGUCCGUACUUUGAUUAGAUUGGAGCUACAUUAUUGGAUAAGAUCGUUGCAACAUUCAAUUUUAUGCUUAUGCAUAUGCUAUUUUUCUUUCUUUUAGUUUCUUUUGUACUCUCAUUUUGCAGCACCAAGUGACUAUGCAAAACAACCAAGGAUCAAUAAUCACUUAUGAACACAAAAUGUUGGGCACGGGCCAAUGCCCAUCUAGUAUAUAUAUAUAUAUAUAUAUAUAUAUAACCAAGGAUCAAUAAUCACUUAUGAACGCAAAAUGUUGGGCAUGGGCCAAUGCCCAUCUAGUAUAUAUAUAGGGCAAAUUACAGAAAUCACAUACUUUUCCCAUCAAAUUUGAAACUUAUUUGCAUAGUUAGGAUAAGAGAUGACAAACAUUAAACAGUACAAAGAGAUUACUUGGUUAGUGCAUACUUGUUAAACUAUCAUUCACAAAGAAUUGAUUCAGAUAUCAAUUGAAUUUUGAUAGUUUGAAAGGCACCACAUACAUACUAAAUAGUCAUUGAUAGACGAAGAUUCCCUCAGGUGAGGUGCAUUAUAAGGUGUCACGAUGAUGUCAUGGGGGAGGUACACAACUGUGAUUAAAGAUCUCGUCCAGAGGAGAAAUGUCUUGCUCGUAAUUUUUUAUGCUUCGAAAGAAGCUGCUAAGGCGUAGGAUGCGGCUACGAGGAUAUAAGAGUUAUAACUAAAUUUCCUCAAGAUAACCUCGGAGAUUUUCUCAAGAAGUCUAUUUGUAAGAUCGAAAGUGAUGAUAAUAAUGAUAACUCCAAUCAUUUGCUCUCAAUACGCUUUCAGGUCGCCUUCCUACGAGAUUGCGGUGCAGUGAGCUUUCAAAAAUGAAGAAGCCAAAAAGAGACCAUGAACUUUUUGAGGUGAUGCUAACGACGACUACAACACUAUGCCUCUAAAUCAUGAGAUCACCAUUGCACCGUUAGGGAGCAUGUGAAACCAUCAUCGAAUAUUGAAUGCAUGACAUUUCGCAGGUCCCUUUUGCUUUUAAUUUCCUUUUAAAUUCAAAAAAUAUAAAAGGAAAAAAUGAAUACGAGAGAGUCGGCCUCGUUUAUUUCAAGAAACCUAUUUAUUGAUUUUUCAUUUUUUCUUUUUUGGGUUGAUUCUUGUUCGAACUUGAUUCUUUUUUUAUCGAGAUGCAUAGAUCCAUGAUUCCUUUCAGAUCAAGAUGUAUAGAUCCUCAAUUCUUUUCUGAUCAAGAUGUAUAGAUCCUUGAUUUUUUUUCCUGAUUGAGAUGUAAAGAUCAAAAUGUUCCUUUUCAAUCAAGAUGUGUAGAUUCUUAAUUCUUUUUCGAAAAGAAAUAUAGAUUUUACUCAUAGAUCAACAAAAAAGUGCAGCAAUAUUUCGUAGCACGAUGAAUCAUCAUUUUGUUUCUUUGAAUAUCCAUAAAAAUGCUUGAACUCUUUUUUGAUUUGUUCUUCUAUUGUUUUUUUGCAAAUAAAAUUCUCAAGAAAAUCUCUAUUGUUUCAUAGGUUAUCUCGAAAACAAAUAAUUACCUCAUGUUGCCAUGAUAUCUCCUCGUCAUUGAUCGUAAACCUUAGCAACUUCUUCUAGUGUAUCAAAAGUUCUGAGCUAACCAGUUCUCCUCUGGGUGGAAUCUCUAAUCUCAGAGGUGUACCUCCUCAUAUAGCACCCCCUAAAAUGCAUCUUACCUGAUGGAACCGUCGCCUUGUUGGUUUUCCUCCUACGUUAUUUGAAAAUAUAGCUGAUUUUUUAUAUGAUGAGAAAAAUGAGUAAGCUAAAAAAGAAGAUGAAGAGUGGUUUAUAUAGGCGCCUCUCAAGGGGGAUAUUCAAGAUGGAAUCACCGCCUGUUGUUUUUCUUCUACAUCAUCUGAAAAUUAGAAGGAACUUUUUGUAUGAAUAGAAGAAUGAAUAAGCAAAAAAAGAAAGAGGGAGAGUAGUUUAUAUAGACACCUUUAAGGAGGAUCUGUGAAUGUUACAUAAUAUUUGAGUUGUUUAGCGAAACAUCUACUAGAUUCUUUUAAAAUUAGAAAAAUAACUUCGAUAAGGAAAAUAAGUUUCCUUAAUACAUUCCAAAUUCAAUGUUUGUUGGAUUAUAUUUUCUAAGCUAUUAGAAGAGUGAGUGAGGAUCUAGAAUCAACACGGUUGUUUUUAGAAAUUUAAACUCAUAUUAAGGGAAUUUUGGAAUCUCAACAUCAUUACGUAAAAGACUUGUCGUUUAGCCUCAAACUGAACAUACACCGCACCCUCUUGUUGUUUAGACUCAAACUGAACAACCAACGCAACAUCUUGUUGUUUCGCCUCAAACUCAACAACCAGCAUACCUUUUUCUCGUUUAGCCUCAAACUAAACAGUCAGUGCAUCAUCUUGUCGUUCAGCCUCAAAUUGAACAACCAGCGCACCACCUUGCCUUUAUUUUCCACAUUUCCCCAUAAUGUUUUGGUUUCUUUUCCUCUCUUCAUCAAGUAUUCAAGUUCUACUGCCUACUCCAACAGUUGUUGCACCGUUCACAUCCAUCUUAUGAUAAUAUCCAUUAUUAAAAGAAUUUAAUGAGAAAGUUUGUAUUUGUCAAAAUACAAAGUGGUGUUGAAACAAUUCUUAUACAAUUUCAUAUUAGCCAUCACAAAGCUGAAAAUCAAUAUGAUAGAGCAACUUAAACCAUAAAAGUUCUUAUUGAAAGGGUUGAGUUGAGUGACCAUCCAGAAAAUAAAACCAUAAAAUUCUAGUGUUAUAUAAUUUCUUAAUAAAAACAAGAAUAAUAAGGGUACAAUUGUAGAUGGACAAAACUUUGUAGCAUUCCACGAGAACAAAAUAUGUCAUAUGAGAGGAAAGGUGUUUAGAACAAUCAAAACAAAAGUUUAUUUAAGUUUCAGUUUAAUCAAAUUGAACUUUAACCAACUAAACAAGAUAUCUUACUUGCACAACCUUAUCAACUGAAAUUAAGGGUAACAAAUAUUAUAGUAAUUUAUAGUAUAUGUAGUUUCUCAAUAUGCAAAUUUUGUUUUUUAAAAAUUGAAAAAUUUAUAUCUAAACUCCUACAGAAUAUAAAUUAGUUUGGUCCUCAAAUUUAAAACAAAGCAAAAGAAUUGAAACAAAGGGAGUAUCUUUUUUCAUGCUCACUAAGGAAUGAUAUCACCAUUUACACAACAAAUAACUAAAAAUCCAAGAGAGUAAUGCAAGCUUGAUGUGAGCAAUAUACCUUUGAUGUUAAGCACACAUCAGAAUGGUUUGGAUUAUGGGUGUCAAAUAGUUGUGUUGUGUAGAGUUUGUUCAAAUCAAAUGAAUUGAGUUAAUAAUUAAAAUGUUGCUUGGACAUAGUGGUUGGUCGUCGUCGUAAGUUGGCAUUAUUUGUGCACAGUUGUAGCUGGAGUGUUAUGUUUGGAUUAAAGCGUCGAUCCAUGAUUUAUUUCUCCCCCUAUUUGUUUCUGGAACUCUUUUUUAUUCCUUCGCUUGUGAGUAGCAGUGAUCUUUUAUGCUUUUAUUAUUCUUGUUGAUAUAUUGUUGGUCCCGAGGUUGUGGUCAAGGACAAGUUGGACUCCAGGUUAGUUCUUUUUGCCUUAGCAGUAUGAUUGUGUUGGUAGUGUAUUUCUGAUUGUGCUCUUGUUUGGAUGUUGGUGGUGGCAUACAUUGCAUUAGUUGCUCAUUCUCACGUGUUUUGUUGUGCGAUGCGGGUUCAUGUAUAGAAAAAUUAUUAUUAUUUCGAGAAAUAUUGUUUUCACACUGCUACUUUUUAAAACUUAUUUUAAUGGGAGUCUUACAACCUGGAUCACUUUGAUAAACUGAUUUUUGAGAUUUAUGAGGUGUCUAGGACGUGCUCCUUUACUACUUGUAAGAUUAGAGGUAUCUGGGAUGUACUUAGCUUUUUACUUAACUAGUUGGCGCGUCAUCUCCCUUUCCAACUUUGGUUUGGCUACUUGUACCUUCGGAACAAUGGUAGACUUGAUUUGAAACCACGGUGGAGAAGAUCCGAUCUCGUGAUGGUUAUUGAUAUGUUGUAAAUCUUGGCUUUAACCCAGGCAGUGUAUACGAGCUUCCCGCAUCCCAUAUGGGUCCCUCUGGUCGUGUGAAUUGCUAUACAGGAAGAGGGAAUUGGAUCGUUCCUACCUCGCUGCCGGCAGGGGUAGGUGUAUAUACUUAGUUAAUGAUAGAUCAGUUGAUUCUACUGCAUAACCUCCGUUCAUAUGCAUUUGCCUAUCACCAGUAUAAUUGGUGGUUGUUUGCACCCUUAGGUUUUAUGGGGGCUGGUUGGGAUAUGGUUCUUGUUUGUACCUUCAAGCCUUAUAGGGUCCAGUUAGGUUAUUGUUUGACUAUAUUUGUGUAUUCUUAUGAUUGUGUUGAUUGUUGUUAGGUUUGUUUGGUUAGUUCACUUCCAGAGCAUAAAUUUAUCGUGAGUAGGUUGUUGGGAUUGCGCCUCCAAGUACAUUCUUUGACUCAGUUUCCUUACUCUAUGAACCAUAUUUCUUCAUUCUUAUUGCAUGUUCUAUCAUAUUAUAUCCCAUGCUUAGAUACUUGUAAUGUACUUUCCUUACUUGUUGUUUAUAUUUGCUUUGCCUUUGGAUCUCACUUGGUCAAUGCCUACUGAGUACCGCUUGUUGGUACUCAUACUACACUUCUACACCUUGCAGAUCAUAGUACGAGGUCUAACUAUUGAUUUGGAUCUCGUGUAGAGUAGCUUUUGGGAUUCAAAGACUGGAUGAGUCCUGACAUUUGGAGUCGCUAGUUUCCAUCUACUUUUGCUAGGACUAGUCUUUAUGUUGCAUUUAGAGACAGACUGUACUUAUAUUCUAUUUUUAAAAGUCUUGUAAUCUUAUUUUGAUUAGAUGCUCAAUUACUAACUGAUGUCAGGUUUUGGGGAUGGUUUCAUAUGUUUAUUUCUUUUUUAUCUCUAUGAUAUAAGCAGCAUGUUUCUUAUUGUUAUCUUCCACGUGAUAUCCGGUUGCUUAUGUAUCCAGUCUAUGGGUUAGCCUUACCUAUUGCGAGAUGUAGUAGGUUUCACUAUGAUCUGAGAAAUCGGGUCGUGACAAACAAUUGGAAUUUAGGGUAAUGCAUGCAGAAUUUUAGGGGGAGUUUUGAUAUGGGACUGAAUUUUAAACAUCAAAGUUGUGGCGGGUCGGGUUGGGUGCUAUAUAAUUUUUUAGAUUCACGAAGACAAUCUUUGAAUCGUAGAAGGUCCUAUGAGCUAUUAAAAGGCUUCGUAAAUCAACUAUUGAGGUUUUAUUUAUGGGAAACAUACAUGAUAUCUACAAAGGCAAUCUACGUGAUGUGAUAUUGUUUACGUCUAGUAAAGAGCAUUCAUAGAUCUAAACAUGCAGGUAGUCGAUUCUCCUUAUUUCUACGGGUACCACCUAUGGUCCAUAGAAGGGACUACGACUCGUAAGUGUGGCUCACAGAAAAAGUCAUGCAGGAUCUAUUUUUUUUAAGUUCUACGAGUGGAAUCUACGAGUUGUAAAGUGAAUAAAGAUCCGUAAACCCUGCUCGCAGAUACUAAUCUACCUUAAAAUUUCCCAGCUCAUACUGCUAACAUAUUCCAAAAUCAAUCCCUACAUCUUAAUAAAAAACAAUUUACCCAAAACAAAAUUUAAAGACUAAAAAGAAAUCUUGGGUUGCCUCCCAAGCACUACUUAUUUUAACAUUACGGCACGAUAUAAGUUCUUUGGAUACCCAGAAUACACCAAAGUACCUCAUGGGUUGCCUUACCUUGAAAAGCUAGCUAAACCCCAAAAAUAUCAAGUAUCCACCGACAUCCAAAAACCAUAAACAUCCAAAACCUAAGUCAUUGACAUCCGACAUGGCAAAAACCACCACCGGUGGGGUCAUCCCACGGGAGGAUUUCCCACCCCUCCCCACGCAAGACAAACCAGUAACACUACCUCUCAAAGGAGAACUUAUCCCUAACCAAUAUGCCAAUAUUCUUAAACCAAAGAUCAAUAAUCCCCAUCCUCAUGUUUCCCCUAAACCGGUGACUUUUAUACAUGGCAAACCCAACAUAACUUGGAAAUCUUCGAAAGUCAAAUCGCUUAUAACUCAGAAGAAUCUCCAAUAUGCCAUCAUUGGCAAAUUCUCAUAUGGUAAACCAGAGGUACAAGAAUUGAGGAGAACCUUCCCAGGACAAUGUGGAAUUAAGAGUGAGUGCACAAUAGGAGUUCUGGACACGAGACACAUUUUGAUCAGGCUUACUAUGAUGGAGGAUUAUGUACACUUGUUGUCAACGGCGGCUUUUUACGUUAAGGUGAAGGAGAAUUACUGGCAGAUGAGAACUCUUAAAUGGGAUCCAUGGUUUGAACCGGACAUGGAAACUACUAUAGGGGUAGCCUGGAUUUCUUUCCCAGAUCUACCACCUAAUUUUUUCACUAAGGAGGCAAUCUUUUCGAUAGCUAGUGUGGUGGGGAAACCACUAACAGUGGACAUGGCAACGAAGAACCAAACCAAACCUAGUUGUGCAAGAGUUAAAAUAGAGGUUGACCUGACUGCGAAGCUUCCUUAGAGGGUGAGAAUAAAUGAAGAGAAUGAUGUCACUGGGCAUAUAAAAUCAAAGUGGAUUAAGGUUCAAUACGACUAUAUGCCAAAAUACUGUAAGGAAUGUCGAUUGCAGGGAUACGAUGAACAUAAUUGUUGGACGAUUCAUCCAAAAUUGUAUGACAAGAGGAGGGGAGAACAACAAAAUACGGAGAAGGAGAAGGAUACGGUCCAACUGGGUACAAUGGCAGAGCAAAAACGAAUAUUGGCAAGCGGAAAAGUGGUGGGAAAUAAACAAAAUAGACAAGAAUGGAUAGUUAGCAGAAGAAAUAGAUACAAAAUAGAAAAGGCCAGACAAAUAGAAGAGGAAAUUGAUUAUAAGGAUGAAAAUGCUUUAGAGACCCUCAAGGAGGAUGUUGAUGAAGGGGAUGUAGAGGAAAACCAGGAACCAACUAUGAAAGAGAAUACUAAGGACUGGGUUCACAGAAGUUUCCAUGGCAAGAAGGAAAAAAUUAAUAAAUAAGAUAAGGAAACAAGACAGUUUGUAGAGGGAGAGAAAACCAACCAGCAUAAAAAAGAAAGCAUGGAAAGUGAACCAAUUAAUCAAGAAGAACCAGCGACUCAAGAGGAGGGUGUCGUUAUUGAGGAGGAAAAUGCAAAGCAAAACAAAGGAACAAUGGUGGUAUAUGAAAUGGGUGAGGAGGAAACAUUACCAUUAGAUUUACAGAAUGACGUUGAUUAUAGAGACAUUGAAGAACAAAAGGAAGUCAGCGCGAAUGGAGGUGAUAUGGCGCCAAACAUUACUAAGGUGGUGAUGGAAGGGGAUCUAUCUCCUAAGCAGAUCAACAAAUUAAGGGAGGCACAUACCAAGCAGAAAAAGCAAGGAGAAAAAGAUAUUGUUGGGGCACAAGCUUCAUCUAGGCAGUCAAAGAGAACGAUAACCAAAAACUUUAAGUAUAAAUGAGAGCUCUAAUCUGGAAUAUUAGGUCUGUAAAUACACAAAAGGCGUUUACUAGAUUAAUCCAAAUGCAUAAAAAAUAACAAUUUUAUUUUGUCGGAUUGGUGGAACCAUUUGAAGAUCGGCAAGGGCUUGAAGAAUGUAGGAGAAGAUUGGGAAUGCAACAUGCAGCUGCGAACUCAAACGGGAAGAUCUGGGUAUUCAUAGAUGGGGACAUGAAGUAUGAGAUUAAAAGGGAUCAAGACCAAAUGUUAACCCUGAAACUGCAGCACCAGGGAUUGGGAAUAGAGGUGAUGAUAUCAAUAGUAUAUGCCAAGUGUACUCAGGGACAGAGACUAACAUUAUGGGAAUCUACUUCUGAGUUAGCAAGUAUAGUGAAUAUUCCAUGGUUAAUUGGGGAAACUUCAAUGUAAUUAGCAAUGAGAAUGAGAAGCUGGGGGGCAGAGCAGUAACGGAGGAAGAAGUAAGAGAUUUCAACCACAUCAUAAAUGUGAGCAACAUAGAGGAUAGGGGGUUUCGAGGUAGCAAGUACACUUGGUGGAAUGGGAGAAUUGACGAGGAGUGUAUAUUUAAAAGGUUGGAUAGGGUCUUAACUAAUGAGAAGAUGCACGACAUUUUCCCUAUUUUAGAGGUUGAACAUUUAGUGAGAAGUGGUUCUGACCACGCACCGUUAUCAAUAACAUGUGAAAUGAGCAGGGAGGAGGUGAGAAAACCAUUCAUAUUUUUAAAUUUCUGGUUAGAGGAGGAUUCGUUCAUAAAGCUAAUUCGGAAUCAGUGGAAGGCAGAUUUUGAAGGCGACCCCUUUAUUAUGUUCCAUCAUAAAAUUAAAAGGGUCAAGAAAGCUUUAACUCAAUGGAGCAAAGAUACAUUCGGUAAUAUUUUUCAAGAAAUAGCUAUGCUCUAGGAAGUUAUACGGGUACAUGAAGUGCAAUUUGAAGUUACCCCGACACCAGGGAAUAGAGAAAGUCUGCACAGAGCUCAAGCUGACUUAAAAAAACAACUAAAUAGGGAGGAGAAUUUCUGGAAACAAAAAGCAGGGAUGGAGUGGUUUAAAGAUGGAGAAAGAAACAGAAAGUUCUUUCAUACCAUAGUCAAAGGCAGAAGAAACAGACUACGGUUUAAUAGGAUUCAAAAUGAAGAAGGUGAAUAGUUGGAGCAACAAGCGGAUAUUGCAGAAGCGACGGUGGAAUUCUAUAUCAAACAGUUCACUAGGCAAGAAGAAUCGUGUCAAGACUUUGGUAUGUUAGAGGAGCUGCCAAUGGUAAUUACAAGUACUAUGAAUGAGCAAUUGGAAGUCAUGCCAUCAAUAGUAGAAGUAAGGAAGACAGUUAUGGGGUUGAAUAAAAAUAGUGUUGGAGGAGCAGAUGGGAUGACAGGGGAUUUCUACCAGAGCACCUGGGAAAUAAUUGGAGAGGAUAUAUACAAAAUGGUCAAGGCCUUUGUAUGUGGCGCAGAACUGCCUCGAUAUAUCACAUACAAACCUGGUGCUCAUCCCUAAAAAAGUAGCAGUUAAUAAUUUCUUGGAUCUGAGACCUAUUUCACUGAGCAACUUUGUGAACAAGAUAUUUUCGAGAAUAGUCCAUGAAAGAAUCAAAGGUGUUUUACCAAUGAUUAUUUCUCCAGAGCAAGCGGAAUUCCUUUAGGGAAGAAGUAUUGCUGAGAAUAUAUUACUAGGGUAGGAAAUUGUUUCAGAGAUAGGAAAAAGAGGGAAAACACCUAAUCUAGUUAUUAAACUUGAUAUGAUGAAGGCGUAUGACAGAGUGGAGUGGUUGUAUCUAACCAAAGUACUAAGAAGGCUAGGUUUUGGGGAUAGAAUCAUUGAUAUGGUGUAUAGACUGAUUAGCUAUAAUUGGCACUCAAUUUUAGUGAAUGGACAACCCAAAGGUUUCUUUCAAUCAUCCAGAGGACUUAAGCAAGGAGACCCAUUAUUGCCUACUCUAUUCAUAUUGGUUGCAGAAGUGAUGUUGAGAUCCCUUAAUUCUCUCAUGCGGAAGAAGGAAUUUAAGAGGUUUGGUAUGCCUAGAGGGAGCCAAAUGUUAAAUCAUAUGGCUUUCGUAGAUGACAUGAUAAUAUUAUGCAAAGCAGAGGUGGGAACGAUGAACAUGAUAGGCGAGACUCUAAGGAAGUAUGAGGCGAUUUUAGGACAGAAAGUGAAUAAGGAUAAAAGUGCAAUAUACAUGCACCAUGGAGUUUCAGGGGGUGACGCAGUGGUGGCAAAAGUGGCUACAGGAAUUCUGAGAAAGGAUUUCCCUUUUACAGAUUUAGGAUGUCAUAUAUUUUACAAGAGGCAGCAAAAAGCGUAUUACCAGCAAUUGAUUCAAAGGACAGCGGCAAAGAUACAAGGAUGGAAGGUAAAAUUGUUAUCAUACGGGGGAAGGGCAAUACUAAUAAAACAUGUAUUGCAAAAUACUCUGAUCUAUUGUUUAUCAGUGAUGAACCCCCCUACUAAUGUAAUGACACAACUUCAAAGAAUGAUGGCUCAGUUCUUCUGGAGCAGCUGCAUUGGAGGAAGAGGUCGACAUUAGAGUAGCUGGAAUAACUUAUGCCUACCGGAGGAUAGAGGAUGAUUGGGGUUUCGAAUGAUCCAGGACAUCUCUGCAGCACUUUUCUGCAAGUUGUGGUGGAAUUUUCGAACAAAGAAGACACCUUGGAGUGACUAUAUGAUGAAUAAAUAUUGCAGGAAGAAGCACCCUAAUAUAGUAAUAUGGAAGAUGGGAGGGAGAGGAUCACAAGUCUGGAAAAAAUGAUGCAAGCUAGAGAGCAAGUUGAUCAUCAAAUCUUGUGGCAGCCUAGGCGAGGUACCUCAUCUGUAUGGCAUGACUACUGGACAGGUUUGGGAGAUCUUUACACCAUCACAGGGGAAGAAUUCGAAUGGGAUGACAGAUAUGAACGAUUAGAGGAUCUUACCAAGGAAGGAGAAUGGGACGAGGAAAUAGUAAGGGAAAUACUACCAGCAGAAUUGGCUGAGCAUAUCUUGAGGAACAUUAAACCUCCACGAGGGAGGACUGAGGAAGAUAGGGAAAGAUGGAAGCUGCAUACAAGGGGAAGCUUCUCAGUCAAGUCAGCAUGAAAUUAUAUUAGGCAUAAAGGGGAACCAAAUCGAAUAUACAAAUGGAUCUGGACAAAAAGAGUACCAUUCAAAAUGUCAUUUCUAAUGUGGAGACUAUGGAAAUUUAAGGUCCCGGUGGAUGAUAGAGUGAGGAGAUAGGGCAUUGAAGGUCCGUCGAGAUGUUGGUGUUGUAUUACACCGGAUCAAGAGACAUUAACACAUGUGUUCCUAAGAUCUGAUUAUGCUAACAUGACUUGGUCCUAUUUUUCUUCUUUUGCAGGUAUCAACAUAGCAAGACUAUCUCUAAGAGAAGUCAUUAUGCAAUGGUGGAGAGCAAAGUGCAGAUCGGAUAGUAAACCAUAUUAUAGAGCUCUUCCAAGCUUUAUAAUAUGGGAACUAUGGAAAAGAAGAAAUAGGAUAAAACAUGAAGGGAAAGGAAUAUCAAUACCAAGAAUUAUUCACAAUGUUUCUAGGAACAUGUACAUGUUGAUAAAGUUAAGAAGGCCACGCAUGCAAUAUUCAGGGCAAAUAUAUUUCAAGAGCUGGAAGAGUACAGCACACGCGUGAAUAUUGAGCUGGUCAGAUGGGAAUGUCCUCCUAAAGGGUGGGUUAAAUACAAUACCGAUGGGGAUUCUAGAGGAAACCCAGGGCUUAGCUCAUAUGUUUUUUGUCUAAGGGAUGAUAAAGGGGAUAUUAUACAUGCAGAGGGAUCAAAUAUUGAUAAUGUGACAAGUACAGAGGUAGAAGCGAAGGCAAUCCUAGAAGCAAGCAAACAUUGUAUGCAUAUGAAUCACAACCAAGUCAUCAUACAAACAGACUUUAUGCUACUAAACAAAGUCCUAAUAGGGGAGUGGGCAGUACCUUGGAAUAUAUAUGAUACAGUGGAAGAAAUAAGGUCGUGUCUACUAGGAAAACAACACAAAUUUCAGCACAUAAUGAGGGAAGGAAAUCAGUUAGCGGAUCAUCUUGCAAGCAGGUCUAUAGAGAAGGGCAGAUACAUAUUCACAGAUUUUAAAAGCAUGGAUACAUAUGAAAGAAGGAUCCUGAACAAUGACAAAUUAAAUAUCCCAUAUAUGCGAGUUUCACCUUGUAGGGGAUAACGGGAAAAAUGAGACUACUACAGAGUACUGUCUACAUAUAAACCACCAUUUACAAAAUGCCAAAAUGCAACAUGAAUGUGAAAUGCAUCCUAGACUAGACUAUAUUAGCCAUCUAAAAUGGACUCGACAACAAGGAGUUGGGAUCAGGUGGAAGCGAAUACACCUGGAAGGAGCAUAAAUCAAUGACAUGUGGAGGAGGAAUCACUCCAUUCUAGCAUCACCAGAAAAAAUGACGAGAUCAAAAAUCCAGGGUGGAAAAGCAUAACAGAAGAGUAUGGAGGACGAACCGAUUAACUUCACUCAUUCCUUUGACCAAGAUCCAGUAGGCAAGAGGAAAGCUCCACUAGAGAGCACAUCUACAUAAGAAGAGAAAUCACAAGGAGGAAACACAGAACAAAGGACAAAGGAGGAGGAUGUAUACUUACUUUUGUGAGAUGAACAGCAAACAAUAUUUGAGAAUCAAUUCAAAGGCAUUGAUGACCAAAAUCAAGAGGAGGCGAAGGAGACGAAUAUGCCACGGAGGAAGCAUCUUCAGAAGGGUGGGGUUGGUGAGACUAGGGAAAGAGUUUUUCAGGAAACCCUACACUUAAGGAAAGUAUAAUAGUGCAG